UAUGCGAGCAUGAUUCAGCUAGCCCGGCCUUACAACCUAGGCAAUGAGCGGAUAAAAUUGUCCCCUCCUUUUCUGCUAUAAUCCAGAUAGGGAUCAAAGAGUCAUUCAUUCUCUGCGAAUGUCUCACCUUGGCUAACAUAACAAAUUUGUUUGCGAUUAUGUGGCCUUUUACGCUGGUUAUAAAUCCCGAAACCAUCUGAUUGUUGGCUUCCAGGCUUCGGAAAGCCUUAAACUGUUGUUGCGUGUAGAAGCUCGUCUCCAAAGCCAGAUAGAAAAGGAGAUCUGUAGAUUCAACUGAAGUCAUAAUUAGGAACCCUCAGAUUUACGAUCAAAUACAAAGGGAAAGACCAAUGGGCGCGGGUCAACCUCCGGUGAACAAGACAGUCAAUCGACAUACCAAGGACUUGUUAACAAUAGCGGACAAAGUAAUGGUGGAGCUAUGCGCAGUACCUCUGAAGACAACUCUGGUUACUGCCAUCUUUAUCAAUGUGUAAAAAUGAACACACCGGUUGCAGCUGCGCAGUUUACCAAAAUGUGCCCUCACCAGUUACAGUACCAGAUUGCCAAAACGUGCAGACACCAGUUGCAGCACCAAAUUACCAAAAUGUGCAGACCCUGAAGAUGGGCACACCAUAUGGGUCAGUGCACACCCUUGGAUCUCAAACAGAAUCUGGUUAUGAGCCGCUUGAGGGGUCUGGUAGGCAAAAUUUGUACGAGCGCCUUAACAAAAGAGGGAACUAAAUUGUACUGAUGACCUGGGUCUUUAGAUGAAGACAAGGAAGCAAUAUUCGGUCAAAAUUUGAUUUGAAUCAAGUGCUGUUUGGGACCUAAGAGUUAUCUAUGAAAAAGAAAACUCUGACUUUUAUAUUUUUUCAGAGUUGUGAUAAAAACCAGUUCAAGAUAGCAACAUUUGAAAAUUGUUUUUACACGUAUUUUUGUUUUCUACACUUUGGCACGAUUCUUGUUACUUGCAGUGUCAAUUUUUUUCUCAUAACAAUAAUUUCAAAGAUGCACUGUCGUGCAGAAUUCAUAAACAUUACAGUACUUUGAAUUUGUACUUAAAAAAUUAAC